AUUCCGGUUGAUCCUGCCGGAGGCCAUUGCUAUCGGAGUCCGAUUUAGCCAUGCUAGUCGUGCGAGUUCAGACUCGCGGCACCGAGCUCAGUAACACGUGGCCAAACUACCCUACAGAGACGGAUACCCUCGGGAAACUGAGGUUAACCCGUCAUACCGAUCUCAGGCUUGAAUCGCAGAGAUCACAAAACGCCCCGGCGCUGUAGGAUGUGGCUGCGGUUGAUUAGGUAGACGGUGGGGUAACGGCCCACCGUGCCCAUAAUCAGUACAGGUUGUGAGAGCAAGAACCUGGAGACGGAAUCUGAGACAAGAUUCCGGGCCCUACGGGGCGCAGCAGGCGCGAAACCUUUACACUGCACGCACGUGCGAUAAGGGGACUCCGAGUGCGAGGGCAUAUCGUCCUCGCUUUCGUGUACCGUAGGGUGGUACACCAACAAGGGCUGGGCAAGACUGGUGCCAGCCGCCGCGGUAAUACCGGCAGCCCGAGUGAUGGCCGAUCUUAUUGGGCCUAAAGCGUCCGUAGCU
rnacentral:rRNA from 1 species